GGCAGUGCUAACUAGGAAAAGCUCUCCAGAAAGACAUAGCAGGGAGACAGGGAGAACGCAUAUGCGUUCCUCCUGCUCUGAGCCAAGACUGGGGAAGGCUGAACAGGAAACUGACCAGGACAGAUUCGUGCAUGAAAUGGCAAAGUGAGAUGUGCACAGUGUGUGUAGAAAGCAAAAUUAAAGACAAAGCUGCCUGUGAUCAUAAUGGAUAAAGAUAGGAAAUACAACAACAAAAGCAAACAGAAGCAGAAAUAAAUGUACUGUCACACAAGCGACAUUCCUGAGGCAAGGUUCCUGACAGGGAAUGAGCAGGCACGAGGACAAAAAGCAGAGUGUGAAGCCUGAAGAGCUUUCAGGCCCAGGGCUGCAUAGAAGCUGGUGUCAGGGCCAGUGAACGCUUCUGCUUGGACACUGCUCUUCCAGAGGACCCACACGUGGUUCCUGGCCAUCUCAAAACAACGCAAACGACUGAGACAACAGAAAGGACAGGAGGAUAAGUCUGAUGAUGGACGCCAGAUACUCAACAGAGCUGUUCAGAGAAAGAAAGGGACAUGCAUGACAGGUGGGCACACUGGUGACCAUUUUCUGAAACAUGGCAAAAACAAAGGCUUCCCUGCUUUGUGCGCGGUGCUCGGAACCCAUUUCACUCACUGGAUUUUAUGUGCAUUUCAUACUUUGUCAUCUGGAAGAUUAUGUUUUAAUUUAACAAACUGGAUUUAAAAAAAAAAAACAAAAGACAAAAAACAAACAAACC
rnacentral:lncRNA from 1 species